UACGUAGGGUCCGAGCGUUGUCCGGAAUUAUUGGGCGUAAAGGGCUCGUAGGCGGUCCAUCGCGUCGGGAGUGAAAACUCGGGGCUUAACCCCGAGCCUGCUUCCGAUACGGGCAGACUAGAGGUAUGCAGGGGAGAACGGAAUUCCUGGUGUAGCGGUGAAAUGCGCAGAUAUCAGGAGGAACACCGGUGGCGAAGGCGGGUCUCUGGGACAGUUCUCGAGCGCUGAGGACGAAGGCGUAGGGAGCAAACGGG
rnacentral:rRNA from 1 species